rnacentral:rRNA from 1 species
CCUACGGGAGGCUGCAGUGGGGAAUAUUGCACAAUGGGGGAAACCCUGAUGCAGCGACGCCGCGUGAGUGAAGAAGUAUUUCGGUAUGUAACGCUCUAUCAGCAGGGAAGAAAAUGACGGUACCUGACUAAGAAGCCCCGGCUAACUACGUGCCAGCAGCCGCGGUAAGACGUAGGGGGCAAGCGUUAUCCGGAUUUACUGGGUGUAAAGGGGGCGUAGGUGGCAUGGUAAGCCAGAAGUGAAAACCCGGGGCUCAACCCCGCGGAUUGCUUUUGGAACUAUCAGGCUGGAGUGCUGGAGGGGGAAGCGGAAUUCCUAGUGUAGCGGUGAAAUGCGUAGAUAUUAGGAGGAACACCGGUGGCGAAGGCGGCUUACUGGACAGAAACUGACACUGAGGCUCGAAAGCGUGGGGAGCAAACAGGAUUAGAUACCCCUGUAGUC